UACGGGGGGGGGCAAGCGUUGUUCGGAAUUACUGGGCGUAAAGGGCGCGUAGGCGGCCUGCUAAGUCAGACGUGAAAUCCCCAGGCUUAACUUGGGAACUGCGUCUGAUACUGGAGGGCUCGAGUGCGGGAGAGGGAUGUGGAAUUCCAGGUGUAGCGGUGAAAUGCGUAGAUAUCUGGAGGAACACCGGUGGCGAAGGCGGCAUCCUGGACCGACACUGACGCUGAGGCGCGAAAGCUAGGGGAGCAAACGGG
rnacentral:rRNA from 1 species